rnacentral:pre_miRNA from 1 species
GGGCUCUUCCUUAGGGCCCCCCCCCAAUCCUGUUGUGUUUAGUCCAGAGGGUUGGGUGGAUGCUCUCCGGAAGGGCUC